UCCCUUGUAGCUCAGCUGGCAGAGCAACAGACUGUUAAUCUGUGGGUCGCAAGUUCAAGCCUUGCCGGGGGAG
rnacentral:tRNA from 1 species